ensembl:lncRNA
AUGCGGACCGCUCUGCUUCUCGCGGUGUUCUCGUGCUUUUCUCUUAUCGAGGGAAAGCCAUUCGAAGAUAAAACGUGUGUUGGAAUUCGCAGAGAAGAUUCGUCCUAUGACUUUGACCUGCCCGACGCUGUGGCCGUGAACUUGCAAGACCUCACCUGUGAUGCAGAGUGGACCAUUGAUCAAUUCACAGCUAUCCUGGAUGGAAAUUCAGCAUACUUUUCACAUCCCUUCAAAAACGUAACCCGUAAUGGAAUGACUUACUGUCCAUUUUCAGUCAUAUUCCAUGCCUCUUGUCUUAAUUAUGUCAAUCACUUUACAUGUUCUUGCACCAAUUCCACCAACAUCUAUCCAGUGUUUAGCACAACUCUGCCAUCUAGAGAUUCAUCCUCCACUCCAAUCAAAACUAAUUCUUCAGUGAGACAACACUAUGUUGCCAUUGCUGUUGCUGCCAUUUUUGUCAUAACCCUUGUCAUUUUGGCUUUCCACUCUGCAAGCACAGCGAAAUAUGCUCCUGAAGAACAAAACCAGCCUGGUUCAGUAGAAUGA